rnacentral:tRNA from 1 species
GCGGGAAUAGCUCAGUUGGUAGAGCACGACCUUGCAAAGGUCGGGGUCGCGAGUUCGAGUCUCGUUUCCCGCUCCA